rnacentral:rRNA from 1 species
CGCAUCUGUGCAUGCAGCAUAUCAAUAAGCGGAGGAAAAGAAACUAACAAGGAUUCCCUUAGUAACGGCGAGUGAAGCGGGAAGAGCUCAAAUUUGAAAUCUUCAAGGUUUUACCUUGACGAAUUGUAGUUUAAAGAAGUGUUUUCUGUUGAAGUUUUGGUAAAAGUUCUUUGGAAUAGGACAUCAUAGAGGGUGAGAAUCCCGUAUUUGACCAUUAUUUUCAGCUGUGUGAUACACUUUCAAAGAGUCGGAUUGUUUGGGAAUGCAGUCCAAAAUGGGUGGUAAAUUUCAUCUAAAGCUAAAUAUUGGCGAGAGACCGAUAGCGAACAAGUACCGUGAGGGAAAGAUGAAAAGAACUUUGAAAAGAGAGUUAAACAGUACGUGAAAUUGUCAAAAGGGAAGCGUUUGACACCAGUGUUGUUUUCUCGAAAAUCAAUUAAAAAGAGUUUAGAUUUUGUUGUGUAUUGAUCUUAACAGCUUGCAUUUCAAUUUUCUUGCUUUUUUUAAUGCACUUUUCGUUUAACAAGUCAACAUCAGUUUCUUUUGUUGUAAAAAGGUCAUUGGAAGGUGGCUUUCUUUUCGGAGAAAGUGUUUAUAGCCUUUGACUCCUGCAAUCGGAGAGACUGAGGUCUGCAGCGUAGAUCCUUCGGGGUUAGAUACAUUUGUGCUAAGUUAUAGCUUUUUAUAGACAACUUGUUGACUAUGAUUAGUCUUGUAGCUUACUCGCUUAUGCUAUUUUACCUACGCUUAGGAUGUUGACGCGCGUGUGUGCGUG